GCUGGGCAUGGUGGCGCGUGCCUGUAAUCCCAGCUACUCAGGAGGCUGAGGCAGAAGAAUUGCCUGAACCCAGGAGGUGGAGGUUGCAGGGAGCAGAGAUCGCGCCACUGCACUCCAACCUGGGUAACAAGAGCGAAACUCUGUCUCAA
ensembl:misc_RNA Metazoa_SRP Metazoan signal recognition particle RNA